GAUGAACGCUGGCGGCGUGCUUAACACAUGCAAGUCGAACGGAAAGGCCCAAGCUUGCUUGGGUACUCGAGUGGCGAACGGGUGAGUAACACGUGGGUGAUCUGCCCUGCACUUCGGGAUAAGCCUGGGAAACUGGGUCUAAUACCGGAUAGGACGAUGGUUUGGACGCCAUUGUGGAAAGUUUUUUCGGUGUGGGAUGAGCUCGCGGCCUAUCAGCUUGUUGGUGGGGUAAUGGCCUACCAAGGCGUCGACGGGUAGCCGGCCUGAGAGGGUGUACGGCCACAUUGGGACUGAGAUACGGCCCAGACUCCUACGGGAGGCAGCAGUGGGGAAUAUUGCACAAUGGGCGCAAGCCUGAUGCAGCGACGCCGCGUGGGGGAUGACGGCCUUCGGGUUGUAAACUCCUUUCGCUAGGGACGAAGCGUUUUUGUGACGGUACCUGGAGAAGAAGCACCGGCUAACUACGG
rnacentral:rRNA from 1 species